GGGCUGGUUUUAGCCCAGCAGUUCCUUUGAGUCUGGCUUCCCAACCGCCCGGGCCAAUUAGUCCGGUGGUUCCAGACCCGCGGGUGCUCUCCAGUCCUUUU
ensembl:misc_RNA Vault Vault RNA